rnacentral:lncRNA from 1 species
UGAAACUCAAUUAAGCACUGGAAGAAAAAUCAUAUUGAAGACCCACACAACAGAAGGCAAAGGCAAGCCAAGCCCAAGGAAGCCCUACUGGUUGACCAAAGCUAGUCAAGCCCUUUUUGCCAAGACAUGCUCCUGCGCCCACUGCUCUGCUGGCUGCCUAAAGGAAAGCACAGGACACAGGUACAGCAUUAGAGAAGGGCAGAAGCUGCCCUUGACUAUGUAUGGAAAAUGCCAAAGACCUGCUCAUGCAAGGGAGAAGGCUAAAUUGUCUACUUGCAACGAGGGAAGCAUGGGUUUUAAGGCUUCUGCAAUAUGUAUUUCUUCUUGGCCAACAUUUAGAGAUGAACUUACUUAUUCACUGAGGAGUGUGGCUGCCUUUGAGAACAGAGUAGGAAAAGCAAGUGAGAGAGAGAAAAAAACAGUACUUGUGCAAUGGAAAGACUUGGCAAACAUUACCCUAUUCAAAGUUGACAUUAGCGGUGACAAGGAGGAUUGGUGGAC